UUCUAGUUGAUAUCACGUCCGUCCGUCCAGGCCACAAUCUGGACGUCUAUAUGACAGCCAGAACUAGUCGAUAAAUGACAUUGAGUGAAGUAGUCCAGCCUGGCCCAAUUUUGGACGUCUAAUUACAGACAGAACUAGUUGAAAAUAGACGUUCUGAGAGGCCACAAUCUGGACGUUUAUAUGACAGCCAGAACUAGUCGAUAAAUGACAUUGAAUGAAGUAGUCCAGCCUGGCCCAAUUUUGGACGUCUAUUUACAGACAGAACUAGUUGAAAUGAGACGUUCUGACCGACCACAAUCUGGACGUCUAUAUGACAGCCAGAACUAGUCGAUAAAUGACAUUGAGUGAAGUAGUCCAGCCUGGCCCAAUUUUGGACGUCUACUUACAGACAGAACUAGUUGAAAUGAGACGUUCUGACAGGCCAUAAUCUGGACGCUUAUAUGACAGCCAGAACUAGUCGAUAAAUGACAUUGAAUGAAGUAGUCCAGCCUGGCCCAAUUUUGGACGUCUAAUUACAGACAGAACUAGUUGAAAAUAGACGUUCUGAGAGGCCACAAUCUGGACGUUUAUAUGACAGCCAGAACUAGUCGAUAAAUGACAUUGAGUGAAGUAGUCCAGUCUGGCCCAAUUUUGGACGUCUAUUUAGAGACAGAACUAGUUGAAAUGAGACGUUCUGACAGGCCACAAUCUGGACGUUUAUAUGACAGCCUGAACUAGUCGAUAAAUGACAUUGAGUGAAGUAGUCCAGCCUGGCCCGAUUUUGGACGUCUACUUACAGACAGAACUAGUUGAAAUGAGACGUUCUGACCGACCACAAUCUGGACGUCUAUUUGACAGCCUGAUUUAGUUGAUAAAUGACACUGAGUAAAGUCGUCCAUCCUGGCCCAAUUUUGGACGGCUACAGACAACCAGAACUAGUGUAAAUGAGACAUUCCGAUAGGCCACAAUCUGGACGUCUAUAUGACAGCCUGAAUUAGUUAAUAAAUUACAUUGAGUGAGGCAAGGCAGGCCCCUUAGAGCUGUUUUUUUGUCAUGAAGAGUGAGGUUUCAAUGGCUGUUCUCCAUUGAUCUGCCUGUACAGCAUAGACUUCUUAAAAAUUAACCAAUACUCAGCAAUAUUCAUUGUUUUUAGUAAUACUUCAAUGAUUUUUGGAGGUUUAUGUUACUUGCAACUUGUUGCCAUGCAAAUAAAUAGUAGUUUGAAUUCAAAAUCACAGAGACUAAGCCAAAACCUGAGUACCUGGGAAAAUAUAUAUAUUUUCAUCAUAAAUGUUGCAUUUUGGUGUAUUUCCAUCAGGUUUACAGUUACAAUUGUUGUAUAGGAGUUGGAAAACAAAUUCAGCAGAAAAAUUGGCUACUGGAACUUGGUUAAUGGUUAUAGUGCUUUAUUGUUAUAGUGCAUUUUUACAAGGCAAGGAUAAAAAAUUCCUUUGUUGCAUCUUGACUCUAUAGAAAUGGUUUAAAUACCAUGGAUUCAUGUUAGCUUCUUUCAAAAGUGACCAGAAUAAUGAAUAUAGGCCAUAUGGUUGAGGAGUUAUUCCUGAUUUGGGCAGGUUUUGCCUCCGGAUUCAGAGAUUAAAAAAAAAAAAACGUUUUCCGUAUGCAGUACCGGCAGCCAUCCUAACAUCAAUAACUUGAAUUAAUCUAUUUAUCCACAUAUUCCCCGUUUGUUAAUAAUAAUUUGUCAUUUUUUUUAUAGAAUAUAGAAUAUUUUUUAUUUAACAACUGUCUCUGUGGUUUGGUAUUUAAAACAUUUUUGGCUGUAAGGUCGUACGGUAUUAAUAAAGUUCGGUUGAAUUAACCAAUCACGUUCUUGUUACCAGACUGAUAUCCUUCCGCUGUGAAAGUAGUUCUACUUUUAUAGUGGUGAUUAAUAAUUUAAUUGGGACUCGUAGUGGUUAACAUUGCCUUUAACGACUAUUUCAACCUUUUAUGAAAUGACAUUGCUUUUUUAAUCGAGCCAACUUGCCAGGAAAGUUUUCUAUAGUGCUGUCGCACGGAUGGAUAUGAAGUCUGCAAGGAAUUGUACAAUCACACAGUGGACUUGGCAGUUACUCGGCUCGUGCAGAUCGUAAGAGAAAAGAAGAGCUGCCAACCAGGUUCAUCUAAGUCAUACAGCAGGGAGAGGUCCACUGCAUCUGCUGUUAUGCAAUGGGAUUCUGCUGCGACGGAGGCGCAAAUCAGAUCUGCAGCUGCAGAUCACUUGAAGCAUGCCCCGGGACGAGUUGGAGGAGGAGGUUACAAUUAGGUCUUGUUAGCAACUAAAUUUUUACUCUUUUCUAAUUUUAAAUACUUUUAUAUAUUAAUAGUUUUGUUAUUUUCGUUUUAUUCAAUGUUCACUGUUGUACAAUGUAUUUUAAAUGUGUUCGUGGCUUUUCAUCAAAGUUCUUGAAUAAAAUUGGAUAGUGUGAAUCUUAAA